rnacentral:rRNA from 1 species
AGUGAACGCUGGCGGUAGGCCUAACACAUGCAAGUCGAACGGCAGCACAGUAAGAGCUUGCUCUUACGGGUGGCGAGUGGCGUACGGGUGAGGAAUACAUCGGAAUCUACUUUUUCGUGGGGGAUAACGUAGGUAAACUUACGCUAAUACCGCAUACGACCUACGGGUGAAAGCAGGGGAUCUUCGGACCUUGCGCGAUUGAAUGAGCCGAUGUCGGAUUAGCUAGUUGGCGGGGUAAAGGCCCACCAAGGCGACGAUCCGUAGCUGGUCUGAGAGGAUGAUCAGCCACACUGGAACUGAGACACGGUCCAGACUCCUACGGGAGGCAGCAGUGGGGAAUAUUGGACAAUGGGCGCAAGCCUGAUCCAGCCAUACCGCGUGGGUGACGAAGGCCUUCGGGUUGUAAAGCCCUUUUGUUGGGAAAGAAAAGCAGCAGGUUAAUACCCCGCUGUUCUGACGGUACCCAAAGAAUAAGCACCGGCUAACUUCGUG